UCACCUUCUCCUCUUGUUUUAACAACCUGGCUAAUUCCAGCAGAUCACAAUCUUCUUCGCCUUCUUCUUCGGCAUGAUAGAUCGGAUUGUCGAAGUCAUAUGAGGUGUAACCGAAUUGUUAUCAAUGAGAUCCGGAGAAUUACUUUUCGAUGUCGGAACGAGACAAAUCAAAAAAAAAGGAAAAAAGAAAACAAACAUUGCCAUUUUUAUUUAUUUUAAAACUGCAAAAAUAAAUGAAAAACAUGGAACACCGCUUUUAAUGUGAAAAACAUCCAUUUAUU
rnacentral:lncRNA from 1 species